CCAAUAGCGUAUAUUAAAGUUGUUGCAGUUAAAAAGCUCGUAGUUGAAUUUCGGGAUCAAGUCGUCGGUCGUGCCUCGGUACGCACUGGUGACAUUGGUUUCUCCCUUCUGAAGAACCUUGAUGUCAUUAAUUUGGUGUCUUGGGGAAUCAGGACUGUUACUUUGAAAAAAUUAGAGUGUUUAAAGCAGGCUCACGCUUGAAUACAUUAGCAUGGAAUAAUGAAAUAGGACGUUUGAUUCUAUUUUGUUGGUUUCUAGGAUUGACGUAAUGAUUAAUAGGGAUAGUUGGGGGCAUUAGUAUUCAAUUGUCAGAGGUGAAAUUCUUGGAUUUAUUGAAGACUAACUACUGCGAAAGCAUUUGUCAAGGAUGUUUUCAUUAAUCAAGAACGAAAGUUAGGGGAUCGAAGACGAUCAGAUACCGUCGUAGUCUUAACCAUAAACUAUGCCGACUAGGGAUCGGAUGAUGUUAAUUUUUUAAUGACUCAUUCGGCGCCUUACG
rnacentral:misc_RNA from 1 species